rfam:Pteropus vampyrus cont1.334, whole genome shotgun sequence.
GGUUGACUGAUUGUACCCGCCAGCUGGCUAAUAUCAUAAUUAACAAAGUUGCUACUACGUUUGUAAAGUUUAAUCGAAAAAUUUGCCAAUGAUAUGAUGGCAUUGUCACAGAGAUCACAAGGGACACGUUGUCGACUUUUGCUCAAGGUGGACCGGCAAAGCAGUAUAGGCAAGAUGAGAAAUUCUAAACUUGUUCAGCCAAA